rnacentral:rRNA from 1 species
UACGGGGGGGGCAAGCGUUGUUCGGAAUUACUGGGCGUAAAGGGUUUGUAGGUGGCCAACUAAGUCAUACGUGAAAUCCCUCAGCUUAACUGGGGAACUGCGUCUGAUACCGGUUGGCUUGAGUGCAGGAGAGGAACGCGGAAUUCCAGGUGUAGCGGUGAAAUGCGUAGAUAUCUGGAGGAACACCGGUGGCGAAGGCGGCAUCCUGGACCAACACUGACACUGAAAAGCGAAAGCCAGGGGAGCAAACGGG